rnacentral:rRNA from 1 species
UAACUCGCGAUCCGCCAGGGAACUACAAGCACUGGCUUGAAACCCAAAGGACUUGGCGGUGCUUUAGACCCACCUAGAGGAGCCUGUUCUAGAACUGAUAACCCCCGUUCAACCUCACCCUGCUUUGCCAUUCCCGCCUAUAUACCGCCGUCGUCAGCUUACCUUGUGAGAGAUUAUAAGUGAGCAAAAUUGGUACAACCCAAAACGUCAGGUCGAGGUGUAGUGUAUAGCAGGGGAAGAAAUGGGCUACAUUUAUCAAUCGAUAA